rnacentral:rRNA from 1 species
CACGUAGGGGGCAAGCGUUGUCCGGAUUUAUUGGGCGUAAAGAGCUCGUAGGUGGUUCGGUAAGUUGGGUGUGAAAACUCCAGGCUCAACCUGGAGACGCCACCCGAUACUGCUGUGACUCGAGUCCGGUAGGGGAGCGUGGAAUUCCUGGUGUAGCGGUGAAAUGCGCAGAUAUCAGGAGGAACACCAGCGGCGAAGGCGGCGCUCUGGGCCGGAACUGACGCUGAGGAGCGAAAGCGUGGGUAGCGAUCCGG